AAAGGGCUCCCUAGGAGUACCUAGGACGUGAUGGGUGCCUAACACCUUCCCAUUGCGUAAUUUACCCCUUACCCAGAUUCUCUGAUCUUUUCAUUAGAUUUAUAUGUGUAAAACUUCUUAGGCUUUUGUUCGCUUUUUAGCCAGUCCUUUAGAUAAAUAAAAGUGCGGUGUCGACUCGAUUCUUUGUAUGCUUUGCUUAUGGUUUAAUCAAUAAAUCAUAUAGCGACAAAUACACC
rnacentral:lncRNA from 1 species